CGGGGUGUGGCGCAGUUUGGCUAGCGCGCGUGCCUUGGGAGCACGAGGUCACCGGUUCAAGUCCGGUCACCCCGACCA
rnacentral:tRNA from 1 species